AUCAAAACCCACUGAAACAUAAUAGGCCCUUGCAGAACCCCCGCCCAACAGCAAAACCCACUGAAACCUAAUAGACACAUCCAGAAUCCCCAACCAACAGCAAAACCCACUGAAACCUAAUAGACACAUGCAGAACCCCCGCCCAACAUCAAAACCCACUGAAACCUAAUAGACACAUGCAGAACCCCCGCCCAACAGAAAAACCCACUGAAACCUAAUAGAUACAUCCAGAAUCCCCACCCAACAGCAAAACCCACUGAAAUCUAAUAGACACAUCCAGAACCCCCACCCAACAGCAAAACCCAAUGAAACCUAAUAGACACAUCCAGAACCCCCACC
rnacentral:lncRNA from 1 species